UACGUAGGGUGCGAGCGUUGUCCGGAAUUAUUGGGCGUAAAGAGCUCGUAGGCGGUCUGUCGCGUCUGCUGUGAAAACUGGGGGCUCAACCCCCAGCCUGCAGUGGGUACGGGCAGACUAGAGUGCGGUAGGGGAGAUUGGAACUCCUGGUGGUAGCGGUGGAAUGCGCAGAUAUCAGGAAGAACACCGAUGGCGAAGGCAGAUCUCUGGGACCGUAACUGGACGCUGAGGAGCGAAAGCAUGGGGGAGCGAAACAGGA
rnacentral:rRNA from 1 species